rnacentral:rRNA from 1 species
GAUGAACGCUGGCGGCGUGCCUAAUACAUGCAAGUCGAGCGAACAGAUGAGGAGCUUGCUCCUCUGACGUUAGCGGCGGACGGGUGAGUAACACGUGGAUAACCGACCUAUAAGACUGGGAUAACUUCGGGAAACCGGAUCUAAUACCGGAUAAUAUAUUGAACCGCAUGGUUCAAUAGUGAAAGACGGUUAUGCUGUCACUUAUAGAUGGAUCCGCGCCGCAUUAGCUAGUUGGUAAGGUAACGGCUUACCAAGGCAACGAUGCGUAGCCGACCUGAGAGGGUGAUCGGCCACACUGGAACUGAGACACGGUCCAGACUCCUACGGGAGGCAGCAGUAGGGAAUCUUCCGCAAUGGGCGAAAGCCUGACGGAGCAACGCCGCGUGAGUGAUGAAGGUCUUCGGAUCGUAAAACUCUGUUAUUAGGGAAGAACAAAUGUGUAAGUAACUAUGCACGUCUUGACGGUACCUAAUCAGAAAGCCACGGCUAACUACGUG